CCCUGACAGUCGCAUGGUGUGACUGACAUAACCCACGACAGGAGAUACACAUG
ncrna:unclassified sequences Mu-gpT-DE RNA